ensembl:lincRNA Gm12506 predicted gene 12506
GAUGGAGCCCAAGUCCCAAGUUCAGAGGCUCCAGUUCCUUCCCGAUUUGCUGGCUUAGUGCUAAGCCGGGGAAUGAGACCAACAAGGCCAGUGCUGUUGAGGGCUGCUUGAAGCUACAGGUCUUUCAGGGCCCAGAUGGCUUUCCUGGCCUACCGUGCACUCCCGCUAAAACUAGGAGCUCCGCAGCCAUGGCCUUUCCCAGAGAGACACUUAACUGGUGCCAUUUUUAUGAGGGAUAAUAAGACCGAUAUCAUUGCUGGUAUGUUGGUUCCAAGGUCCUUUCAUCUCCUACGCCUCAUCUGAUGUAGAGGACAGUCAGGAGUCGUCUAGAUGCUUAUCAUCAUGGUGUUCCCGAGGAACCACCGGAGCCGGAAUCGAUGGCUUUCAUUGAGCAGUCCUUUCAUGAGUCAAGUCCCCAUAAUUCAAGUCCCCACAGACUGAGGAUCACGAGGCAAGACAUUACAUAUCCCAGACUGGUCUCAAGCUUGUUGCAUGGCUGAAGAGGACCUUGACUUUCGGAUCUGCAAACCUCCACUUCUUAAGUGCUAGGAUUAUAGGAUCUCACUCUGUAGCCCAGCCUGCUUUUGAAUCUGGGAUGUUUUCUUUGCCCCAGUCUCCCAUAUGAAGAAGGCAGCCCUGAGACCUCCUCACAUUUAACAUUUUUACAACUGGAGGAGAGAGUAAUGGAGGAGUCUCCAGGACAUGAUGGCCAGACGCCCCACAUCUAGAAUAGCAGCCUGCAAAGGAGGUAAACAUGUCCUCAUCAGAAUACAGGAUACUGCUUCUCCGGGAUGGAUCUCUCCUUC